rnacentral:rRNA from 1 species
UACGUAGGGGGCAAGCGUUGUCCGGAUUUAUUGGGCGUAAAGAGCGUGUAGGCGGCCAUACAGGUCCGUUGUGAAAACUGGAGGCUUAACCUCCAGACGUCGAUGGAAACCGUAUGGCUAGAGUCCGGAAGAGGAGAGUGGAAUUCCUGGUGUAGCGGUGAAAUGCGCAGAUAUCAGGAAGAACACCCGUGGCGAAGGCGGGUCCCUGGACAACUUCUGACGCUGAGGCACGAAAGCUAGGGGAGCAAACAGG